AAUGAUUGAUUUAAUAGCCGCGGUAUAUUGACUGUGCAAAGGUAGCAUAAUAAAUUGUCUUUUAAUUGGAGGCUGGAAUGAAUGAUAGGAUGUGAUGAAUGCUGUCUUUAUGGUAAUAAAUUUAAAUUUACUUUUUGAUGAAAAGGUUAAGAUUUAAUUGGUAGACGAGAAGACCCUAUCAAGCUUGAUUUUAAUUAUGGUUUUAUUUUGUUGGAUUGGUGGGUGAAUUGUAAUUUGAAUUUUGUUGGGGCAAUGUUUGAAUAUAUUGUAAUUUUUUAUUGAUUUGUUAGAUUUUGAUCCAUUAUUAGUGAUUUGUAGAAUAAGUUACUGUAGGGAUAACAGCGUAAUUAGUCUGGAGAGUUCAUAUUGGUAGAUUAGAUUGCGACCUCGAUGUUGGUUUAAUGAGUCUUUAAGGUGUAGCAGUUUUAUAAGAG
rnacentral:rRNA from 1 species